UGGCUUUUUGAAGAUGGAGAAGGGAGCUGCACAGCUCCUCCCAAACGGUUACAACGUGUCAUUAAUGAGAGCGAACAAAAGAAGAAGAGAGAGGGGGAGGACUGUGAGAAGGAGGAGGUGAAAAUGAAGGGAUCAAUGCACUUCCACAACCUGCCUACGAUGAUGCCGGAAAAGCCAAGCCAGACUGAUGCAACAUUCAUGAUUUAGACGAAAAUAAUCUACUCACGGCGCCUACUGAUGUUCUCCAAAAAAAAGUAAUGUUAAUACAGAGCAAAGCUUGUAACAACAUUGCAAUGCAAUAACUACAACAUUAUUCUUUCACUUUUAUUUAGUUUGCUUUCUUACAAGACCAUUUUCCAUUAAAUGCAUUACGGUC